GACAGCAGUAGCCGCGGUAAUACGGAGGGUGCAAGCGUUAAUCGGAAUUACUGGGCGUAAAGCGCACGCAGGCGGUCUGACAAGUCAGAUGUGAAAUCCCCGGGCUUAACCUGGGAACUGCAUUUGAAACUGUCAGGCUGGAGUCUUGUAGAGGGGGGUGGAAUUCCAGGUGUAGCGGUGAAAUGCGUAGAGAUCUGGAGGAAUACCGGUGGCGAAGGCGGCCCCCUGGACAAAGACUGACGCUCAGGUGCGAAAGCGUGGGGAGCAAACAGGAUUAGAUACCCGCGUAGUCCCUGUCUCUUAUAC
rnacentral:rRNA from 1 species